rnacentral:miRNA from 1 species
UAAGCUCGUCAUUGUUUCCUUUCU